AUGCUCCAGAGCUUCCUUUUCACCGUUGAAAAUAGGCUGGUUCCAGUACCUCUCUUUACCUAUUGGAAAUAUAGAAAAACCCUCACUCUCUAUAAAUUGGCAUUCAUGGCUCAAGCAAAGGACACCAAUUUUUCUUCAGCCAACACUUCCUCACUCGGCUGCUGCAAGCAUUCCAGCAGCCAUCAACCCCCUUUAGCAACCACCAUACCACUUUCCUUCCUCUAUUCAACUGCUGCAAGCAUUCCGGUGGCCAUCCCAGUAAUUC
rnacentral:lncRNA from 1 species